rnacentral:rRNA from 1 species
GACGAACGCUGGCGGCGUGCUUAACACAUGCAAGUCGAACGGAAAGGCCCUGCUUUUGUGGGGUGCUCGAGUGGCGAACGGGUGAGUAACACGUGAGUAACCUGCCCCUGACUUUGGGAUAACUUCAGGAAACUGGGGCUAAUACCGGAUAGGAGCUCCUGCUGCAUGGUGGGGGUUGGAAAGUUUCGGCGGUUGGGGAUGGACUCGCGGCUUAUCAGCUUGUUGGUGGGGUAGUGGCUUACCAAGGCUUUGACGGGUAGCCGGCCUGAGAGGGUGACCGGCCACAUUGGGACUGAGAUACGGCCCAGACUCCUACGGGAGGCAGCAGUGGGGAAUAUUGCACAAUGGGCGGAAGCCUGAUGCAGCAACGCCGCGUGCGGGAUGACGGCCUUCGGGUUGUAAACCGCUUCCGCCUGUGACGAAGCGUGAGUGACGGUAAUGGGUAAAGAAGCACCGGCUAACUACGUG